rnacentral:pre_miRNA from 9 species
CCUCUAUAGCGUAAAAGUUAACUCAGAUCUCUAUGGAGUUGGAAAGUUUGCCUACGUUUCCCACUAGGGGCGCUGUUCUAACUGCAUAGCAAUUUGAGUUAGCUUUUACAUUAUCGA